CCUACGGGAUGCAGCAGUAGGGAAUCCUCGGCAAUGGACGAAAGUCUGACCGAACAACGCCGCGUGAGUGAAGAAGGUUUUCGGAUCGUAAAACUCUGUUGUUAGAGAAGAACAAGUAGGAGAGGAACUGCUCUUACCUUGACGGUAUCUAACCAGAAAGCCACGGCUAACUACGUGCCAGCAGCCGCGGUAAUACGUAGGUGGCAAGCGUUGUCCGGAUUUAUUGGGCGUAAAGCGAGCGCAGGCGGUCUUUUAAGUCUGAUGUGAAAGCCCUCGGCUCAACCGAGGAAGGUCAUUGGAAACUGGAGGACUUGAGUGCAGAAGAGGAGAGUGGAAUUCCAUGUGUAGCGGUGAAAUGCGUAGAUAUAUGGAGGAACACCAGUGGCGAAGGCGACUCUCUGGUCUGUAACUGACGCUGAGGCUCGAAAGCGUGGGGAGCAAACAGGAUUAGAUACCCGUGUAGUC
rnacentral:rRNA from 1 species